rnacentral:rRNA from 1 species
UACGAAGGGGGCUAGCGUUGUUCGGAAUUACUGGGCGUAAAGCGCAUGUAGGCGGCGAUUCAAGUCGGGGGUGAAAUCCCAGGGCUCAACCCUGGAACUGCCCUUCGAUACUGUAUUGCUAGAGUAUGGAAGAGGUAGGUGGAACUGCGAGUGUAGAGGUGAAAUUCGUAGAUAUUCGCAAGAACACCAGUGGCGAAGGCGGCCUACUGGUCCAUCACUGACGCUGAGAUGCGAAAGCGUGGGAGCAAACAGG